rnacentral:sRNA from 1 species
UGACCACCCAGCGCGCUGGGUUAAGGCCAUACGGACAGCCGGGUCAACUGCCGA